GAUGAACGCUGGCGGCGUGCCUAAUACAUGCAAGUCGAGCGAACGGACGAGAAGCUUGCUUCUCUGAUGUUAGCGGCGGACGGGUGAGUAACACGUGGAUAACCUACCUAUAAGACUGGGAUAACUUCGGGAAACCGGAGCUAAUACCGGAUAAUAUUUUGAACCGCAUGGUUCAAAAGUGAAAGACGGUCUUGCUGUCACUUAUAGAUGGAUCCGCGCUGCAUUAGCUAGUUGGUAAGGUAACGGCUUACCAAGGCAACGAUGCAUAGCCGACCUGAGAGGGUGAUCGGCCACACUGGAACUGAGACACGGUCCAGACUCCUACGGGAGGCAGCAGUAGGGAAUCUUCCGCAAUGGGCGAAAGCCUGACGGAGCAACGCCGCGUGAGUGAUGAAGGUCUUCGGAUCGUAAAACUCUGUUAUUAGGGAAGAACAUAUGUGUAAGUAACUGUGCACAUCUUGACGGUACCUAAUCAGAAAGCCACGGCUAACUACGUGCCAGCAGCCGCGGUAAUACGUAGGUGGCAAGCGUUAUCCGGAAUUAUUGGGCGUAAAGCGCGCGUAGGCGGUUUUUUAAGUCUGAUGUGAAAGCCCACGGCUCAACCGUGGAGGGUCAUUGGAAACUGGAAAACUUGAGUGCAGAAGAGGAAAGUGGAAUUCCAUGUGUAGCGGUGAAAUGCGCAGAGAUAUGGAGGAACACCAGUGGCGAAGGCGACUUUCUGGUCUGUAACUGACGCUGAUGUGCGAAAGCGUGGGGAUCAAACAGGAUUAGAUACCCUGGUAGUCCACGCCGUAAACGAUGAGUGCUAAGUGUUAGGGGGUUUCCGCCCCUUAGUGCUGCAGCUAACGCAUUAAGCACUCCGCCUGGGGAGUACGACCGCAAGGUUGAAACUCAAAGGAAUUGACGGGGGCCCGCACAAGCGGCGGAGCAUGUGGAUUAAUUCGAUGCAACGCGAAGAACCUUACCUGGGCUUGACAUACACCAGAUCGCCGUAGAGAUACGGUUUCCCUUUGUGGUUGGUGUACAGGUGGUGCAUGGUUGUCGUCAGCUCGUGUCGUGAGAUGUUGGGUUAAGUCCCGCAACGAGCGCAACCCUUGUCUUAUGUUGCCAGCAAUUCGGUUGGGGACUCGUGAGAGACUGCCGGGGUUAACUCGGAGGAAGGUGGGGAUGACGUCAAAUCAUCAUGCCCCUUAUGUCCAGGGCUUCACACAUGCUACAAUGGUCGGUACAACGCGUUUGCGAGCCUGUGAGGGUGUGCUAAUCGCUGAAAGCCGGUCGUAGUUCGGAUUGGGGUCUGCAACUCGACCCCAUGAAGUCGGAGUCGCUAGUAAUCGCAGAUCAGCAACGCUGCGGUGAAUACGUUCCCGGGCCU
rnacentral:rRNA from 1 species